UUACUUGCUUUUGAUCUGUCUUCUUUAGGGCAUGUUUGUCCCUGCUAUUAAAGGUCAAGGAACUAACGAGCAACAACAGAAAUGGAUACCACUUGCCUAUAAAUUGCAAAUCAUCGGAUGCUAUGCUCAGAACUUGGUCAUGGCUCAAGCGUCCAAGGCCUUGAAACAACAGCAACUUUUGAUCCCAAAACUGAUGAAUUCGUCAUUCAUAGCCCGACUCUAACUUCAAGCAAAUGGUGGCCUGGUGGUUUGGGAAAAGUUUCUACACAUGCAGUUGUUUAUGCACGCCUUAUAAGUUGUCUUUAAUUAUGUUUUUUUUUUUUUUUUUCUUGUGUUCCUGUUGUUUGUCAGGAUAACUGUAAUUCUAAACACUUGGAUUGUUGUUGCGUUAUUUUUUAUUUUAAUUUCGACUAAUCCGAGAUAGUUAUAUUAUUUUAUGAAAUUGCCGGACACGACACUUGGGAUUACGGAAUAUUUUUCUUUUUGUUUUAUUGUAAUAAGACAGGUCGGCGGAUUGAGGAGGGAUGAUCGCCUGUUGCCUGUACCGUCGCCUUUCGCCAGCCCGAAUGCCCGAUCAUUCGUUGCCGCCGCCGUUGCCGCCAUUAUGUCGAGGACGAAAAUGUUUCCUUUUAUGAUAGUAUGCUAUAACCACUUGCUUGUAAUCAUUAAAAAGAAAAUUGCUUGUAAUCAUUAAAAAGAAAAUAUGUGAAGAAGGACGAAAUUAUUAUAAGUAUGUGAAGAAAUGGCGAAAUUAACAGAGCAUGAUUUCGUGUAAUUUUGGUUAAUGCACUUGAGUACAUUUUUCAGCUUGAAGUUCUUGCUGUAAUCAUAAAUGCUUAAAAAUUACAACCUCAAUGAUAAUUAUUUUAUUUA